rnacentral:rRNA from 1 species
UACGUAGGGCGCAAGCGUUGUCCGGAAUUAUUGGGCGUAAAGAGCUCGUAGGCGGUCUGUUGCGUCUGCCGUGAAAACCCGAGGCUUAACCUCGGGCCUGCGGUGGAUACGGGCAGGCUGGAGUUCGGUAGGGGGGACUGGAAUUCCUGGUGUAGCGGUGAAAUGCGCAGAUAUCAGGAGGAACACCGGUGGCGAAGGCGGGUCUCUGGGCCGAUACUGACGCUGAGGAGCGAAAGCGUGGGGAGCGAACAGG